rnacentral:tRNA from 1 species
GCAGUGGUGUUUCAGUGGUAGAAUUCUCACCGUUCACGCAGGAGACCUGGGUUCGAGUCCCAGCCAACGCA